UCCAGCAUGGUUUCAUUGAUAUGGCCC
rnacentral:piRNA from 1 species